AUUGAACGCUGGCGGCAGGCCCAACACAUGCAAGUCGAACGAGUGGCGGACGGGUGAGUAAUGUCUGGGAAACUGCCUGAUGGAGGGGGAUAACUACUGGAAACGGUAGCUAAUACCGCAUCCCAUCGGAUGUGCCCAGAUGGGAUUAGCUAGGAGGUGGGGUAACGUCUCACCUAGGCGACGAUCCCUAGCUGGUCUGAGAGGAUGACCAGACAGGCUGGAACAGAGACACGGUCCAGACUCCUACGGGAGGCAGCAGUGGGGAGUAGUGCACGAUGGGCGCAAUCCUGAUGCAGCCAGGCCGCAUGUAUGAAGAAGGCCUUCGAGUUGUAAAGUACUUUCAGCGGGGGUACGUUGCCCGCAGAAGAAGCACCGGCUAACUCCGUGCCAGCGGCCGCGGUAAUUC
rnacentral:rRNA from 1 species